GAUGAACGCUGGCGGCGUGCCUAAUACAUGCAAGUCGAGCGAACAGAUGAGGAGCUUGUUCCUCUGACGUUAGCGGCGGACGGGUGAGUAACGCGUGGAUAACCUACCUCUUAGACUGGGAUAACUUCGGGAAACCAGUGCUAAUACCGCAUAAUAUAUUUAACCGCAUGUUUCAAUUGUUAAUGACGCUUUUGCUGUCCCUUAUAGCUGUCUCCGUGUCGCAUUAGUUACUUGGUAAGGUAACGCCUCACCAAGGAAACGUUGCGUAGCGGACCUGAGAGGGUGAUCGGCAACACUGGAACUGAGAAACGGUCAAGACUCCUACGGGAGGAAGCAGAAGGGAAUAUUGGGCAAGGGGGGAAAGCCUGACGGAGCAAGGCCGAGUGAGUGAGGAAGGUCUUCGGAUGGUAAAACCCUUUUGUUAGGAAAGAAAAAAGGGGGAAGUAAAAAUGCACGUAGUGACGGUACCUAAACAGAAAGCAACGGCUAACUACGUG
rnacentral:rRNA from 1 species